GCGCGAUUAGCUCAGCGGGAGAGCACUUCCCUGACACGGAAGGGGUCACUGGUUCAAUCCCAGUAUCGCGCA
rnacentral:tRNA from 6 species